rnacentral:miRNA from 1 species
CUCGGGGUAUUCCACAAAAAAUUACCCUGAGGGAUGAAAUAUUCCAAGGGCGAAGCCCGAGGAAUAUUUCAUCCCGCAGGGUAAUUUUUUGUGGAAUACCCCGA